rnacentral:rRNA from 1 species
UGGGGAAUAUUGCACAAUGGGCGAAAGCCUGAUGCAGCAACGCCGCGUGAGUGAUGACGGUCUUCGGAUUGUAAAGCUCUGUCUUUGGGGACGAUAAUGACGAUACCCAAGGAGGAAGCCACGGCUAACUACGUGCCGGCGGCCGCGGUAAUACGUAGGUGGCAAGCGUUGUCCGGAUUUACUGGGCGUAAAGGGUGCGUAGGCGGACCUUUAAGUGAGAUGUGAAAUCCCCGAGCUUAACUUGGGGGCUGCAUUUCAAACUGGAGGUCUAGAGUGCAGGAGAGGAGAGUGGAAUUCCUAGUGUAGCGGUGAAAUGCGUAGAGAUUAGGCAGAACACCAGUGGCGAAGGCGACUCUCUGGACUGUAACUGACGCUGAGGCACGAAAGCGUGGGGAGCAAACAG